AGUAUCUGAAUUUGGGGAGAACAUAAGUCCAUGACACAUGUGUACAAAACUUUCAUUGUGAUAUUAGUGUCAUAAUAAUAAUAUAUAACAACAUACAACAGAGCAACCAACAAGCUUAACACCUGAGAAAAGAUAGGUGCCUCCCAGAAGUAACAAACAUGAGUACUUGAUUACCUAGGGCACACAUAGCACAGACCAAGAUAUAAUCGCCUUGAAAGUGGAUGAAAAGAAUGCAGCUGAAACAUUUAUCAAAUUAUUGGAGGCCAAAUGUGAACACUAGUGAAGAUCAACUGUGGUUGGAGAAAUGAAGAACAGCAAAACUCUAACCCCGGGACAAGUACAAGAUUACUGAGAAAGCUUCACCCCACAAACUCAGGGGCACUAAGACUGAGGCUGAGCCGUAACGACAGAAUUUUCCCACUGUUAAAGCAAAUAAAUAUGGCCUGAGAAGGAUUUCUAUAUUUGAGUCCUUGUGGACUAACUGCAACCUAGCUUAACAGAGUAAGACCAUUUAAAGGGACCAAAAAUGGAUGAACAUACUUGGCACUAUGAACUAAAAGAUCUUUGGCUAAAGAAGAGAUGAAGACUCAUUCAACUCCUACAAGUGAAUUAAGGAGCUCUGAGAAGGCAAAGCCAGCCCAGGAGGGUGGACACACUAAGAACAAUGUGCCUUGUCCUGAUACACAGUUGUGGUAUAGGUAACAAAAUCUGAGUAUCCAACCUAAGAUGUUACCCCUCACCUCACCAGAAUACCUCCAAUCCCUUCCCUGGAAACACAGAAUAAAUUCCUAUAGAAAGUUAUAAAGCAGAAAA